GGUUGUAGCUGGCUCUCCGGAGU
rnacentral:rRNA from 1 species